AGACAGAAGCAGGAAAGAACCACAGACAGUACAAAGCAGGAAAAAGGGCCAGACCAAGCCCUGGGGAACAGACUUCUGAAAUGACUUGAGGACAACAAGGAAGCAAGAAGACCUGAAAGUACACCCUCCCUAGCCCAUUCGUGGGCACUUUGAUGCAGACAGCAUGGCAGGCCCAGGCCUGAUGGCACUCCAAUAAGCUUGGGUCAACAGACGAGGUUCGAACAGCAGGCCAGCACUUGCUGCAGCCUGGUUCUCCCUGAAACUUGGUAGCUUAGGCUGGGUGAAGCCCACUGAGCAGCCAAGUGAGAUAAUCUGUGUACAUGCCCCUUGUCACCUGAAAUAGAAGCUGGGCGACAGUAGGCAAAUGCCUGCUCAUGCUGGAAAGCCAGCCCAAAAAGGCUGGGAAAAAUAAUCUCACAUCCCCACAGGCUUCCUAAGUGCCAUGUGGCAUCUCAGAGAAAGAAAUGCAGAUAGCUUCUCAGGCUAAAGGUGUCAAAGACUCUGUAGCUAUUAACUGCACACCAGGGAUUUAAAGGGAGAGUUUUCAGAGCUCAGCGUUGUCUACGUCAACUUUCAUCUCAAUAGGUGAGCCAUAGGGCCACUGUAGGAAGAGAAGUGCUGAAAGAGUCACUGCCCUACCCUUCACCAUCCACUGCAGCUCCAGUGGCCAGGCCUGCUGCUACAACAAGAUGCUGCCUUAUGCAGGGGUAGACACAGGACAGUAAGUGAUGAGUAUAAGUGAUAAACAAGUCAGAUCCCAGCUUUAGUAAAAAGUCCCACAGCAAGUCAGGGCAAGGAGACAGGCAACAAAGAAAAGCCUAGAAGUAGGAGGUGCAAAUCCAAGCAGGACUCCUGUUGGGGAAGACAUGGCCAUGGCUCAUCAAGCACCUUGGGGCCCAGCUGGAAGGGGUGGCAAUGACAAGAAAGAAACACUCUUUAGUACUUGAAUCACAUGUAGUUGUAAAAAGGAAAAGCUACUCCUUUGAAAUGUGCUGGUCACUGCGAUGAGCAAGCGGGUGGGGACUGAACCUCAGAACACUGUUCUGGUGGCAGUGGGGCCUCCAAGAAUAGCAGACAAAGUACUUCUGUGUCCUCAGCCCCAUCCACAGCCUGCCAGGGGCCUUUCAGGAUACCUGACACCAUUAAAGCACAAAGACCAGGAUACAUGCUUCCCCAUGAAGGCUUCCUAAAGCUGAGCUUGUCAACUGGGCUAGGACUGAAAGGAGAGAGAGACGGGAAGCAAGGGUGCUACGGUCUCCAAACCACACUACAGAAUGCUUGCCACCUCAGCAUCCUCCCCGAAAUGUUAAGUACCUCUGCCAGCCCUUCUGAGGAGCCCUUGAUGAGGCACCCAGGUCUGGAAUGACACCCACCCUUCACAUCAGCUUGACCUGUGGCACAGCGCACUGCUGAAGAUGUCUUCCUCUUACUGAGAUCUUCUACUUGAAAGGAUGCUCAGGCAUGCACACACAUGGAAAAGGGGCAGACCUUCACAGCUCAACUCACCCAGUGGGGGAGGUAACAGAUGCCUUCAUCAGCAACAAACUCCAGUACACCGCAGUGUGUCAUCCGAUCUGAAUUCUUAUUGGUCAAUUUAAACAGCAUAGGAUAGGUAAUGUUGAGCCGGCCUAAGAACAAAGAUGUUAUAACACACAAGCAAGUACCACACCUACCACCAGUUCCUGUGAAGGAAACCCCAUCCACCCAAUGCCCUCCUGUGGCCUAAACUUCAGAGCCUACUCCCACAUUCCCCUACUGUUCUAGUCAGAGGGGUAUCACUGCAAGAACACACCAUGUGGCCCUAGAGGAGCUUGGUGACUUAGUCAUGUAGCACCAGCGUAAACAUGAUUUUUUGAAAUCAUGAUUCUUAAAAGUAACGUGUUCAUUUAUUCAUCAAUAACUUAAGUGUCAACCAUGUGUC
rnacentral:lncRNA from 1 species